CUGGAACAGCACUGUAUAUCAGCUACAAACCAGAUUACAAGAUACACUUCUUUUUGAAAAAUUAGAGAUAAUGGAAAAUUCAAUUAUUGGGAUAUGACAACUCUUCAGAAACGCCCUGAACACUGAAAAACUGUGAGAUCUACUGGACUCCUGGAAGAGCAGAUCUCCGUUCUGGUACAUAUAGGGCAGUUCCACCUCAAUAGGGGCCUACAAAAAGAGGCCGUCUCGAUGAGAAAAGAAAUUCUGUAAAAUUUCUCUAUAUCCCCAAUCUGAUGAUCUGACAUCUGCUUCCAGGACACAGUUUAAAUAUACAUUUGAAUUUCAUAAAACCAGAUGCAGAAAACUAAACAGAAAGCAGAUUAGGAAACUUCUCUGUUUUGAAAAUGAGAAAAAAGUGGUAUGAUAUUUUAUCCUCAAGGAUCCCCACCCGAAAUAUGUGUCUUUUUAGUUAUCAUGGACAGAAGUAACAGUGUGCAGCGUCCCACUGCUACGGUAGUGGCAUACUGCAAAAAGGUUACAAAUAUGAUUAUUCCCCAGACUCCCCAAUAUCAACAUAAAGAUCACUGGCUGUUAAAGAAAAAAAGCCACAUGGUGGGUAAACUGGUGGUGUAUAUGCAGCAGCCCACUAACUUUCAGUUCUGCCUUCUCCACCAGGAAAAGUAAUACAUCAAACUCCCUGUGGCUCUACCUAUGCUUACCUGCUGACAUGUUCACCCUAGUGGUGUAGAGGUUGUACCAGAGGAAAUGCUUUACUGUUAGCUUUGGUCUUAGCUGGAUAGAUUGCAUGUGCAGCUCUAUUUAGUCAUCCAGAUCCAACGUAGCAAGAAAACAGGGAAAAAGUGUGGUUGGCACCCUGGCAUUGGCAGGUCAUCAGGGGUAUCUAUCACCUUCUCAGGCAUU